UACGGAGGGAGCUAGCGUUGUUCGGAAUUACUGGGCGUAAAGCGCACGUAGGCGGAUCGAUCAGUCAGGGGUGAAAUCCCAGAGCUCAACUCUGGAACUGCCUUUGAUACUGUCGAUCUGGAGUAUGGAAGAGGUGAGUGGAAUUCCGAGUGUAGAGGUGAAAUUCGUAGAUAUUCGGAGGAACACCAGUGGCGAAGGCGGCUCACUGGUCCAUUACUGACGCUGAGGUGCGAAAGCGUGGGGAGCAAACAGG
rnacentral:rRNA from 1 species